CUGGCGGUCACUCACCUAAGAUAAGAAAUGCCUAAGUCACGGUGACUGGACCAAAGAAGCCCCUCUUCUGCAUUCAGACCCUUCUUAUCUCUCUUUUGGCAGAAGAACUGUCACUGCAUCCCUUCAGAUGAGCUGGCAAUAAAGGACAUCGCUGUGGAACCACAUACAGCCUUCUCCUCUCUCUCUAUCCCUGUGUGUCUGCCAGAGGCACUUGUGAGCACAGAGCGAAAUCACCAAGAGCUGAACUCACAGAGCUGAAAUCACUCCAGAGGUGCUCGCUAAGUUGCCUGUGGCUGGGAGCUGAGCCGAGGGACCCAGACAGGCUGAGACUAAUAGCGCAGCGCUAUCCGGGACACCAGCGGCAGCCGGGGUUGGAUGGACCCCUGGGACCCCAGGUUGCAUUACGUGGCCACCCGAAUGGAGCACUGGCAUCCUGGCACCCCUGAGAGCAGCAUUCUUUGUGAAUUGUUACUGCCUUGGACGGCUAUGGCCCCUUGAAGGUAACUCCUCCUUUAUAGAAGUUUUCUGAAGAGGCGUCAAACGAAUUUGCAUAUCAGUAUCCUCAGGAGUUGGACGGCAGACCACCCACCCAGCAGUUCCUUGACCCACAUUUGGCUGAAGAAGUAGGAGAGAAGAUCCACCUCCCAGGGAUGCUGGACACUGGUGCGGAUGUGACCAUCAUUGCUCACUCGGAAUGGCCGGCACACUGGGAACUACAACUGGUGCAAUUACACUGCUCAGGUGAUCUCUGCAUCCUCUCUCCACCCCAAAGUAUUACCCAAGGGAACGUUUCUCAUCUGUGGUAACCGACUAUGGGCUGGGAACCCCUCGCGGCUCCAGGGAGGUCCCUGUAGCCUUGGAAAACUUUCUACCCUUACUCCAAAUAUCACCUUGUUAUGUAAUUGGAAAAAAGAAAGCAAAUUAAAACACUACAAAAGAUCCUACACAGAAUUUGAUGAAAAUUCCAAUCCAAAAUUAUAUGAUGGAACAAACCAAAAAAGAUUGCAGUCUCCCUCUUCCUACCCUGGGUAGCUGCAGCCCUUGGUGAAAUAAAUCACUUAGGGUGCUGGCUCAGUAAGCAAGCCAAUGCUACCUCUGCCACCCUAAGUGAUCUUUUAAAGGAAGAAGAAACCACGAGACUUCCUACUGCUAGCCCACGGACAUGGCUGCCAAGACUUUGAAGGGAUGCGUUGCAUCAAUCUCCCUUCACGCUCAGAAUCCAUCCACGCAAACAUCCAGAAACUGAAGGAACUUGUGAAGGACUUAAAAGUAGAAAACAACCCAGACUGGGUCAAUGACCUUUUCGGUCAGAGGGGAUUAAUGGGAUGGGUUGCAUCUUUGGUUAAGGGAAUUUUGUGGAUUUUCAUUGUAAUUGUCAUUGUGUUAGCUAUGUUCUCAUGCCUUGUCCACUGUUUUAAAAGAACUAUAGGGCACGCCUUUUUCCUAAAUACAGAAAGUGGAGUUGCAGCAGUCAGAGGCCCUGCAAGGCCUCCCUGGCGGUCACUCACCUAAGAUAAGAAAUGCCUAAGUCACGGUGACUGGACCAAAGAAGCCCCUCUUCUGCAUUCAGACCCUUCUUAUCUCUCUGUAAGGCUAUUGGUCGUAUUCUCCUCAAACCUGGCAACUGGACAAUUUCCAACACACCCCAGUACCCCAUAUAAACACCCAUUUCUGCCCAGUUUGGCAGAAGAACUGUCACUGCAUCCCUUCAGAGGAGCUGGCAAUAAAGGACAUCGCUGUGGAACCGCA